rnacentral:rRNA from 1 species
CCUACGGGUGGCAGCAGUGAGGAAUAUUGGUCAAUGGACGAGAGUCUGAACCAGCCAAGUAGCGUGAAGGAUGACUGCCCUAUGGGUUGUAAACUUCUUUUAUAUGGGAAUAAAACAGGGUAUGCAUACCAUCUUGUAUGUACCAUAUGAAUAAGGAUCGGCUAACUCCGUGCCAGCAGCCUCGGUAAUACGGAGGAUCCGAGCGUUAUCCGGAUUUAAUGGGUUUAAAGGGAGCGUAGGUGGAUUGUUAAGUCAGUUGUGAAAGUUUGCGGCUCAACCGUAAAAUUGCAGUUGAAACGGGCAGUCUUGAGUACAGUAGAGGUGGGCGGAAUUCGUGGUGUAGCGGUGAAAUGCUUAGAUAUCACGAAGAACUCCGAUUGCGAAGGCAGCUCACUGGACUGCAACUGACACUGAUGCUCGAAAGUGUGGGUAUCAAACAGGAUUAGAUACCCUUGUAGUC